rnacentral:rRNA from 1 species
GAUAUGCCUGCUGCUGACUUGCAUGUCAGUCGGACGGAUGCUUGAUCUUGCUUGAUUGAUUGAUAGUGAGUGACGAACGAGUGAUACAUACAUCCGAGCCUUGCCUGGAGGGAGAACUAAUUAAAAGAAUAAUUAAUACAUACCACAACCUACCGGUGGGUGAGAGUGACCGACCGGCCGCCCUCUUGCUAAACGACCGAUCUAUGAUUAAUUAGCUGGUGGGGGGGGUGACCGCCCACCAAACCAACAAUCACUGGCUGGACAGAAAGAACAAUCACCCUCGCUGUGACUCACACACCACACUCCCUCCUACGGCAGGCAUGAGUGAUUAAUUUUGAAGAAUGAAAGAAUGCCUCAUCCAUGCCUGGCGUGUGAGUAAAGACGGCCUUCUGUAUAUAACUUUCUUUCGUCCAGAAAUAGAUGGCUGUGGUACAUGCCUGCGGUCAGUGACCCGACCGAAUAAAGACCGACCAACUAACUACCUGCCACCGCCCGCGUACAUACGGACCGACCAUUCAUCAAACUUACUUACUGUAAAUAAAGCGCGCGCAGGUGGUUGAGAACGAUCUAAAAUCACCCCCCUAAACUAACGAGUUGAUUUAUUCACUGUCGCCCAGAUUGUUUAGACAAAGGGGGAUGAAAUCACGUGGAGCUUCCCCUAAAUUUCACUCC